GCUGGACAUGGUGGUGCAUGCCUGUAAUCUCAGCUGCUUGGGAGGCUGAGGCAGGAGGACUGCCAGCUUAAGGCCACCCUGGGCAAUUUAGUGAGAACUUGUCUCAA
rnacentral:sRNA from 1 species